rnacentral:misc_RNA from 1 species
UCAGUCACCGUCACCGUUAACGUUAUUGAAUUUAGCUAUCAGCGACGACGUUUUGGUUUCCAUCACCACCAGCCUCAACAACGCCAACCGCACCGUCUUCGUCUACCCACCGCUCCACGGGGGUGCACUCCUCCUUAUGCCUUAGCUUCCAAUCAAGCGCUUGGCAUGCGCGUGAGCAGUAAUUCACAGCCCCACAAACGGAACAUCUUCGGAACUCAUGUUUUCUAGUCUCUGGUCUUCCGCAGCCGACGUGAGAGCAUAAACGGAGCCCCGGACCGGGUAUACCGCCACGGGACGCGAACCACUCGGCCAUGAACUGACUAGCUGGGUGUGCCUCCGGGGCCGGAACAUUACACCCGAAAUCGCUCAACAAAGGACAUCCCGGACCACUUGCAUGCCGAUGGUUGGGGUGAGCGUGUGGGUUCCAUGGAAGCCAUGCGCGUGUAUUAAGACCAGAAUUAGGGUUAGACAGCACAGCGGCCAACUCCCGAGCGUUGGCUUGAACGAGGAAUCGGCGUCCCUCGGCGACGUUUUGCCGGACGCCGUAGCCGUCCUGAAGGCAGUGACCGAGUUCACGAAGGGCGUCGAUAUGGCCUAG